rnacentral:rRNA from 1 species
GAGACCGUUCUCUAUGAGGCCGGUUAUCGGAAUGGGUACAAUUUAAACCCGUUAACGAGGAUCUAUGAGAGGGCAAGUCUGGUGCCAGCAGCCGCGGUAAUUCCAGCUCUCAAAGUGUAUAUCGUCAUUGCUGCGGUUAAAAAGCUCGUAGUUGGAUCUGCGCCUCAGGACCUGGUCCGCCCACUGGGUGAGAACUGGGCUCCUGGGCUAGUUCUGCUGGUUUUCCCUGCGUUGCCUUCAUCGGUAGCGUAGGGUGGCUAGCGAGUUUACUUUGAAAAAAUUAGAGUGCUUCACGCGGGCUUAUGUCUGAAUACUCGUGCAUGGAAUAAUAGAAUAGGAUCUCGGCUCUAUUUUGUUGGUUUUCUGAUCUGAGAUAAUGGUUAAGAGGGACGGACGGGGGCAUUCGUAUCGCUGCGUGAGAGGUGAAAUUCUUGGACCGUAGCGAGACGUCCGACUGCGAAAGCAUUUGCCAA